UGACUACAGCAGAGUUAUGAAGUUCUUAUCCAUUGAUACUCCUAUGCUCCUGUGGAAACGCCAAGAUCUGCUAUUCUGAACCUGAAAUUCAGUUCUCCAUCGAACAGCCCUGGUUAUUUGACCUGCAGCUGGUCGGGUCUAUGGUUUUUAAGCUAGCAGUGUUUUUACACAACACAUUUGAAUGCCGAUGAUUAAUUUAACCUCCUAACUCAAGACAUUGCUGAGGUCAUCGCAAAAUAAGUGCUAAACUGGAGAUUUUGACAUU
rnacentral:lncRNA from 1 species